CUUGUGAACACUGCAGCAGGUGGAGCUUAAAGCGUUUCCUUGGUUACCGCUGUAAACAAAGCACUUGUGAACACUGCAGCAGGUGGAGCUUAAAGCGUUUCCUUGGUUACCGCUGUAAACAAAACACUUGUGAACACUGCAGCAGGUGGAGCUUAGAGCGUUUCCUUGGUUACCGCUGUAAACAAAGCACUUGUGAACACUGCAGCAGGAGGAGCUUAGAGCGUUUCCUUGGUUACCGCUGUAAACAAAACACUUGUGAACACUGCAGCAGGUGGAGCUUAAAGUGUUUCCCUGGUUACCGCUGUAAACAAAGCACUUGUGAACACUGCAGCAGGUGGAGCUUAAAGUGUUUCCCUGGUUACCGCUGUAAACAAAGCACUUGUAAACACUGCAGCAGGUGGAGCUUA